UGGGGAAUAUUGCGCAAUGGGCGAAAGCCUGACGCAGCGACGCCGCGUGGGGGAUGACGGCCUUCGGGUUGUAAACCUCUUUCAUCCACGACGAAGCGUAAGUGACGGUAGUGGGAGAAGAAGCACCGGCCAACUACGUGCCAGCAGCCGCGGUAAUACGUAGGGUGCGAGCGUUGUCCGGAAUUAUUGGGCGUAAAGAGCUCGUAGGCGGUUUGUUGCGUCGGCCGUGAAAACCACAGGCUUAACCUGUGGCCUGCGGUCGAUACGGGCAGACUUGAGUUCGGUAGGGGAGACUGGAAUUCCUGGUGUAGCGGUGAAAUGCGCAGAUAUCAGGAGGAACACCGGUGGCGAAGGCGGGUCUCUGGGCCGAUACUGACGCUGAGGAGCGAAAGCGUGGGGAGCGAACAGG
rnacentral:rRNA from 1 species